CCUACGGGUGGCAGCAGUGGGGAAUAUUGCACAAUGGGGGAAACCCUGAUGCAGCGACGCCGCGUGAGUGAAGAAGUAAUUCGUUAUGUAAAGCUCUAUCAGCAGGGAAGAAAAUGUCGGUACCUGAGUACUAAUCCCCUGCGAAAUCCGUCCCAGCAGCCGCGGUCAUACGGAGGGGGCACGCGUUAUCCGGAUUUACUGGGUGUAAAGGGAGCGUAGACGGCGGUGCAAGUCUGGAGUGAAAGGCGGGGGCUCAACCCCGGGACUGCUCUGGAGACUGUACGGCUGGAGUGCAGUAGAGGGGAGUAGAAUUCCUAGUGUAGCGGUGAAAUGCGUAGAUAUUUGGAGGAACACCAGUGGCGAAGGCGGCUUACUGGACUGUGACUGACGUUGAGGCUCGAAAGCGUGGGGAGCAAACAGGAUUAGAUACCCGAGUAGUC
rnacentral:rRNA from 1 species